AACGAACGCUGGCAGCAUGCUUAACACAUGCAAGUCGAACGAAGGCCCUAGCUUGCUAGGUGUCCUUAGUGGCGCACGGGUGAGUAACGCGUGGGAACCUGCCCAGAAGCGGGGAACAACCAUUGGAAACGAUGGCUAAUACCGCAUACGCCCUCCGGGGGAAAGGCUUCGGCCACUUUUGGAUGGUCCCGCGUCUGAUUAGCUAGUUGGUAAGGUAACGGCUUACCAAGGCGACGAUCAGUAGCUGGUCUGAGAGGAUGAUCAGCCACACUGGGACUGAGACACGGCCCAGACUCCUACGGGAGGCAGCAGUGGGGAAUAUUGGACAAUGGGCGAAAGCCUGAUCCAGCAAUGCCGCGUGAGUGAAGAAGGCCUUAGGGUUGUAAAACUCUUUCAACUGUGAAGAUGAUGACGGUAGCAGUAGAAGAAGCUCCGCUAACU
rnacentral:rRNA from 1 species